UACGUAGGGGGCAAGCGUUGUCCGGAUUCAUUGGGCGUAAAGAGCGUGUAGGCGGCCAGGUAGGUCGGUUGUGAAAACUGGAGGCUCAACCUUCAGAGGUCGACCGAAACCAUCUGGCUAGAGUCCGGGAGAGGAGAGUGGAAUUCCUGGUGUAGCGGUGAAAUGCGCAGAUAUCAGGAAGAACACCCGUGGCGAAAGCGGCUCCCUGGAACGGUACUGACGCUGAGACGCGAAAGCGUGGGGGCGAACAGG
rnacentral:rRNA from 1 species